rnacentral:rRNA from 1 species
AACGAACGCUGGCGGCAGGCUUAACACAUGCAAGUCGAACGCCCCGCACGGGGAGUGGCAGACGGGUGAGUAACGCGUGGGAAUCAACCCAUCCCUACGGAACAACUCCGGGAAACUGGAGCUAAUACUGUAUACGCACUUAGGGGGAAAGGAUGAUCCGGGAUGGAUGAGCUCGCGUUGGAUUAGCUAGUUGGCGGGGUAAAGGCCUACCAAGGCGGCGAGCCAUAGCUGGUCUGAGAGGAUGAUCAGCCACAUUGGGACUGGGACCCGGCCCGAGCUCCUACGGGGGGCAGCAGGGGUGAAUGUUGGAGCCUAGGCGCAAGGCUGAUGCAGGCGUUCAGCGUUGGUGAUUAAUGACUUAGGGUUAUAAAGGUCUUUUACCGAUGAAGGUGAUGACAGUAGUCGGAGAAGAAGCCCCGGAUAACUUCGUGCCAGCCGCCGCCGUAACAC